CGCAGCGUGGCGGAGUCUGGUAGACGCGCCAUCUUGAGAGGGUGGUGUCCGAAAGGGCGGGGAGGUUCGAAUCCUCUCGCUGCGACCA
rnacentral:tRNA from 1 species